rnacentral:rRNA from 1 species
UACAGAGGGGGCAAGCGUUGUUCGGAAUUACUGGGCGUAAAGGGCGCGCAGGCGGCCCUUGAAGUCAGGCGUGAAAGCCCCGGGCUCAACCUGGGAGUGCGCUUGAUACUCGAGGGCUUGAGUGCGGGAGAGGAGAGUGGAAUUCCUGGUGUAGCGGUGAAAUGCGCAGAUAUCAGGAGGAACACCAAUUGCGAAGGCAGCUCGCUGGGACGUGACUGACGCUGAGACGCGAAAGCGUGGGGAGCAAACAGG